rnacentral:rRNA from 1 species
UGGGGAAUUUUGCGCAAUGGGGGAAACCCUGACGCAGCAACGCCGCGUGGAGGAUGAAGUCCCUUGGGAUGUAAACUCCUUUCGACCCGGACGAUACUGACGGUACGGGUGGAAGAAGCACCGGCUAACUCUGUGCCAGCAGCCGCGGUAAUACAGAGGGUGCGAGCGUUGUUCGGAAUUAUUGGGCGUAAAGGGCGCGUAGGCGGUGCGGUAAGUCACCUGUGAAAUCUCCUGGCUCAACUGGGAGCUUGCAGGCGAAACUGCCGUGCUGGAGUGUGGGAGAGGUGCGUGGAAUUCCUGGUGUAGCGGUGAAAUGCGUAGAUAUCAGGAGGAACACCUGUGGCGAAAGCGGCGCACUGGACCACAACUGACGCUGGGGCGCGAAAGCUAGGGGGAGCAAACAGGAUUAGAUACCCUGGUAGUCCUAGCCCUAAACUAUGGAUGCUUGGUGUAGCGGGUACCCAAUCCCGCUGUGCCG